UAGAAGUUGUGCAUUAUUAAUUGAAAGAAGCUUUUUAAGUAUACUUAAGUGACUCUGGUAGGGCUUGUUUGAUAGAAAUCAUCCAUCAGAACUUUCUGAUUUAGCUUCUAUGCAUCUUAUUUAAUCUUAGCUUCACAGUAUCACAUGCAGGAGAGCCUGCCAGGGUGACCUACCUGCCUUGGUCUGUGACCAGGAUUUCUGAGAAGGCCUCAGUUAAGAGAUAGUGGUUUGAUGAGGGCCUUGGUGCUGCAGGAGCAGUGUGGCUGUAAAUUGUGUCAAUAAACGGGAGGUGGCAGUGGGUGGCACAUAAACAAGGGACCAUUUUUCUGCAGAGGUAUAACAUCCAUUGGUCAGGCUGAAACCCAGUUUCUUCAAAUACAUCACUCUGAAAGCAGGAAAAGCAGUUUCCUGAAGGGAUGUUGCACCUCAUCUAACCUAAGUCUUAUUCAUAAGAAAAAAAUAUUCCAAGAUUUUAAAAUUGAGACAGAAAAGUUGCUUUUCUGUUUGGCAGCACUGCCCAGUGUGUGUGUGCGCUUUCUCCUGCCAGCUGCUGUGUGUAGUGCUGUCCUAUUGCUUGUGGUCUAGUGGCUGCUUUUUCUUCUAAACCACUGCAAGAGAGAACAUCUUGUUUCUCUCUUUAUAAAGCCUGCACAGCCCAGGUGGCCACUCCUUCCUCUCACUCCAUCCACACAGCUAGAACCUAAAAUGUCCCAUUAUCUGCUCAUGCCUGAUCUCUGGCAUGCCCGCCUUUCUGCAUCACAGUCCGCAUCCCAUCCACUCCGGAUGGGUGGAUGGGCUCAUAGCAUGGGGCUUUAACCAUGUCGCUGCUCUUGUGACUCCCUCCCUUGCCCCUCAGAUAACUUUUCCCAUGAUCUCAGCUCUUGCAUAUUUACAGACCCUCAGACAAAACUGCUCCUCUCCUACUUCAGAUGAGGCCUCGCACUCAGUGUCCUUUCCAGCCUUUCUCCAUCUCUACUUCUCAUCUCUCCUCCAGCAUUGCUCGUUUGCCACCCUGCUCAGUGUAUUACCACGUGCCUUUGUUCCACAGAGAAACAACACACUGACUCUUAUGUUCAUCCAUUCCUGCCUCCAUCUGUUUGUAUCCCCCAUUGCCUUUUGGUCUGUGACCUUCGCAGAGUUUUCUUCUGUCAGUGCCCAUUACAGAAUGGGUUCUUCAUCCAUGACGUAAGUUUCAUAGAAGUAGUAAUGAUUAGCAGUGAUUCUUAAAUAACACUGGGGGAUCUUGGCUCAAGUUUGAAACUAAGGACUAGAGCAGAUUAGACAGCGUGGAACUCAGGAGUGUUUCUCCUCUACCUGUGUGACUCUGGUGUGAAAAUGAGAAUUUCUUAGAUUGAUUCCACAUGUCAGUAGACUUCUCUUGGACAACAAAGGAGUGUAAAUAGUACUGCCAACACGGGAAAA